rnacentral:rRNA from 1 species
CCUACGGGGGGCUGCAGUAAGGAAUAUUGGUCAAUGGACGCAAGUCUGAACCAGCCAUGCCGCGUGGAGGAUGAAGGUCCUCUGGAUUGUAAACUUCUUUUAUUUGGGAAGAAACUCCCGAUUUCCAUCGGGAUUGACGGUACCAGAUGAAUAAGCACCGGCUAACUCCGUGCCAGCAGCCGCGGUAAUACGGAGGGUGCAAGCGUUAUCCGGAUUCACUGGGUGUAAAGGGUGCCAAGGUGGGCAGUUAUAAAAUCUCCGGGCUUAACCCGGAAACUGCCAUUGAUACUAUUUGUCUUGAAUACUCUGGAGGUGAGCGGAAUAUGUCAUGUAGCGGUGAAAUGCUUAGAUAUGACAUAGAACACCCAUUGCGAAGGCAGCUCACUACGGAAAUAUUGACGCUGAGGCACGAAAGCGUGGGGAUCAAACAGGAUUAGAUACCCGGGUGUC